AUUGAACGCUGGCGGCAGGCCUAACACAUGCAAGUCGAGCGAGCGACGGACGGGUGAGUAAUGUAUGGGGACUGCCCGAUAGAGGGGGAUACCUAAUGGAAACGGUAGCUACUACCACAUACUAUCGGAUAACCCAUAUGGGAUUAGCUAGUAGGUGAGGUAAUGGCUCACCUAGGCGACGAUCCCUAGCUGGUCUGAGAGGAUGAUCAGCCACACUGGGACUGAGACACGGCCCAGACUCCUACGGAGGCAGCAGUGGGGAAUAUUGCACAAUGGGCGAAAGCCUGAUGCAGCCAUGCCGCGUGUGUGAAGAAGGCCCUAGGGUUGUAAAGUACUUUCAGCCGGGAGGCGUUACCGACAGAAGAAGCACCGGCUAACUCCGUGCCAGCAGCCGCGGUAAUUC
rnacentral:rRNA from 1 species